UCCUGGGCCAGCUUAGGGAACAUGUUUGGGAAGUAGGACCUUGGAAUACAAGGUCCCUGACUGACCCUUGCUUGCUGCUGGUCCCAGUAGUGGGUCUCCUGGGGAACUGCUGGCUGGCCAGAGGAACGGGAGAACAGCUCAGGAAGGGAGGGAGGUGAUACGCUGAGUCAGCAUGACUCGCCAGGAACAGGGCGCUCUGGGGCAGCACUGGGGUUAUUUUUAAAGCUCAGCUUCCUUCUAGGCUUGCCCCUCCUGCAGCCCAGACCUUCUAAUCUCUCUCUGCUCCCUUUGUCUUCUGCCUUCACAUCGCUGCUGCUUCUUCCCUGGGAAAAAAAUCUCCCCGACCUCCCACCUGGCUCUCUAGGGAAAGGGCCUUCUGAAGCAGCCAAGCUCAGGUCAGGUGAGGGCAGGGUUCUGUGGGCUGAGCACUAGGCAGCAAGCUUCCCUUUGGGGUGUAAGAGUCUCAGGGUCCUGAUCUCUGCUCUGUGUCUUGCAGAGUGCCUGCUCACUGUGUCCCCCGGGUUAUGACGACCCCCAAUAAAGGAAACAAGGCCUUAAAGGUGAAGCGGGAGCCAGGCGAGAAUGGCACCAGCUUGACUGAUGAGGAGCUGGUGACCAUGUCGGUGCGAGAGUUGAACCAGCACCUGCGAGGCCUAUCCAAGGAAGAGAUUAUCCAGCUGAA
rnacentral:lncRNA from 1 species